GACGAACGCUGGCGGCGUGCUUAACACAUGCAAGUCGAACGGAAAGGCCCUGCUUGCAGGGUACUCGAGUGGCGAACGGGUGAGUAACACGUGGGUGAUCUGCCCUGCACUUCGGGAUAAGCCUGGGAAACUGGGUCUAAUACCGGAUAGGAGCCAUUUUUAGUGUGAUGGUUGGAAAGUUUUUUCGGUGUAGGAUGAGCUCGCGGCCUAUCAGCUUGUUGGUGGGGUAAUGGCCUACCAAGGCGGCGACGGGUAGCCGGCCUGAGAGGGUGGACGGCCACAUUAGGACUGAGAUACGGCCCAGACUCCUACGGGAGGCAGCAGUGGGGAAUAUUGCACAAUGGGCGCAAGCCUGAUGCAGCGACGCCGCGGGGGGGAUGACGGCCUUCGGGUUGUAAACUCCUUUCGCUAGGGACGAAGCUUUUUGUGACGGUACCUAGAGAAGAAGCACCGGCUAACUACGUG
rnacentral:rRNA from 1 species